rnacentral:lncRNA from 1 species
CUAGAGAAGGGUUUUCAAAAAUGGCCUUGAUCAUAUGACAUUCACAUGCAAUUCAAUAGAUCAUCAAGAUUAAGGCAAUAUCAUCCAUGUUUUCCUGUGAACAAUGCAUACAACAAUAAAAACUUUGGAGUUCAAAAUCUCACACACAAGCUUUCUCACACAUAAUUCAUUCAUACACCCUGCCUAGCAUCAUGACCACAAUCAUAAAUUCAUCACUCAUCUAUUUCCUGGAUAUCAUCAUGAAGUACAACUCAAUUCUCAUCCACAUCCAAUAAUCAUCAAAUGGAUUCAUCAUGCACAUAAGUUAGUCUAACAUUUUCAGAACAAGUAGUAAGGCCAAGAGUACACACCAAAAUUAAAAAUUCAACCUAUUCUAAGAAUUUAAAAUGAAAAAGUGUAAGAAGAAAUCUAGGUUGCCUCCUUGUAGCGCUUGUUUAACGUCACGAGCCUAACCCAAACCUGGUUGGCACUUGUCAGUAAGUGCACUACCUUCCACCACCUAUCAGUAGGUGUACCUUCCGGAUAUCCUUCAGUGGAUACUUAUAUCUUCUAACAUCCCCCAGUAGAUGUUAUCCCGGUAGCAUUCAUCAGUAAAUGCUAAUCUUUCUAAUCUUCAUUGGCAUCCUUCAGUAAAUGUCAUAUCACCUAACAUCCAUCAGUAGAUGUUGUAGAAGCAUCCAUCAAUAGAUGUUAUCAUCACUGCCAUCAGAAGCAAUGCAUAACCCAAAAAAAAAAUAAAGAAAAUAAAAUAAAACCAAAUCAAAUAAAAUCAAAUAAUAUAAAAAAAUCAAAUCAAAUAAAAUAAAAUAAAAAUAAAAAUAAAAUCAAAUAAAAUAAAAUAAGAUAAAAUCAAAACGAAAUUGAAAAAAAAAAUUCAGAAACUGGGUUGCCUCCCAGCAAGCGCUCUUUUAACGUCAUUAGUUGACCCGGUAAAGCCCAAACACCCCUCAGUAGGUGUUUCUUUUUAACGUUGGCGUUCUUCCUUCCUUCAUGACAACAACAAUCUUUUUGUCACCAACUCUAAGGAUCCUCAAUCUCAAGAGCUCUGCAUUCUAUAAUAGUCUUCACAACCCAUAACCUAAUUUUGAAUUUCAUUGAUGUGCCAGGUUAGGGUUUGUCACUUUUCACAUCAGGCUGUUGGUGAACCAAUUCUCCUUCCUUAUCUAC